rnacentral:rRNA from 1 species
UUAGGAAUUUUGGGCAAUGGGCGAMAGCCUGACCCAGCAACGCCGCGUGGGUGACSAAGGCCUUCGGGUCGUAAAGCCCUUCUCCACGGGAAGAUCAUGACGGUACCGUGGGAAUWAGCCCCGGCUAACUACGUGCCAGCAGCCGCGGUAAUACGUAGGGGGCGAGCGUUGUCCGGAUUUACUGGGCGUAAAACGCUUGUAGGCGGCCACGCCAAGUCGGAUGUGAAAUCUCCCGGCUUAACUGGGAGGGGUCAUGCGAUACUGGCGGGCUCGAGGCAGGUAGGGGGAAGCGGAAUUCCCGGUGUAGUGGUGGAAUGCGUAGAUAUCGGGAGGAACACCAGUGGCGAAGGCGGCUUCCUGGACCUGUUCUGACGCUGAGGAGCGAAAGCGUGGGGAGCGAUCCGGAUUAGAUACCCGGGUAGUCCACGCCGUAAACGGUGGGCACUAGGUGUCGGGGGUAUCGACCCCUCCGGUGCCGCAGCUAACGCACUAAGUGCCCUGCCUGGGGAGUACGGCCGCAAGGCUAA